rnacentral:rRNA from 1 species
AAUUUUGGACAAUGGGGGCAACCCUGAUCCAGCCAUCCCGCGUGUGCGAUGAAGGCCUUCGGGUUGUAAAGCACUGUUGGCAGGGACGAAAAGCCGCGGGUUAAUACCCAGCGGCGCUGACGGUACAUGCAGAAUAAGAACCGCCUAACUAGGCGCCAGCAGCCGCGGUAAUACGUAGGGUACAGGCGUUAAUAGGAAUAACUGGGCGUAAGGCGUGCGCAGGCUGUUCGGCAAGAAGGAUGAGAAAUCCCGGGGCUUAACCUCGGAACUGCAUUCUUAACUGCCGGGCUAGAGUAUGUCAGAGGGGGGUAGAAUUCCGCGUGUAGCAGUGAAAUGCGUAGAGAUGCGGAGGAAUACCGAUGGCGAAGGCAGCCCCCUGGGAUAAUACUGACGCUCAUGCACGAAAGCGUGGGGAGCAAAC